UAACCUGCCCAAGAGAUCGGGAUAACACCUGGAAACAGAUGCUAAUACCGGAUAACAACAGAUGAUGCCUAUCAACUGUUUAAAAGAUGGUUCUGCUAUCACUCUUGGAUGGACCUGCGGUGCAUUAGCUAGUUGGUAGGGUAACGGCCUACCAAGGCGAUGAUGCAUAGCCGAGUUGAGAGACUGAUUGGCCACAUUGGGACUGAGACACGGCCCAAACUCCUACGGGAGGCAGCAGCC
rnacentral:rRNA from 1 species